CUGUGACAGAAGAACCGGCUAGGCCACGGAUGUGCUUCGGCCAUCUUUUAGCCUCUGAGGCGGAGAGGCUGGAGCAAUCCAACGCUCAUCGCAGCCAUCAGCCAUCCAAAUGUGGCCAGGGAGUGACUGCGGGUCAGCCGGCGGUCAUGUCAGCCACACAAAACAACUCCGAGCAUACCGUGGGAUCUUUUCACACCCUUGCUGCUGGAUUUCACUGUAAGAACCCCAUUACUUGUUUAGUCUUGAAAGCCAACAAAUUGCUGCUGUCAAGAGCAGACGCUGGUUCUGGAAGGCUAUCCUAAAGUUUCUGAACCCUCCAGCAAGGAUUUCCUUACAUGAUCAUAAACUUAAACACCUCCACAUGAAGAUAGACACACUCGCACACACACACGUACACAGUAAAAAAAAAAAAAAAAAAAAAAAAAAAAAGCCACCCACUGGCUGGAACUUCCUGGG